GUUUGCACUUGUCGGGGAAGGGUGAGAACCUUCGAUUAAGGUUCGACUUGAGCGAAAGCGAGAGAACGUUGCCAACGGCAACGGCCCGUA
rnacentral:sRNA from 2 species